rnacentral:rRNA from 1 species
AAUGGAGGAAACUCUGAUGCAGCGACGCCGCGUGAGUGAAGAAGGUCUUCGGAUCGUAAAACUCUGUCCUUGGUGACGAAAAAAAUGACGGUAGCCAAGGAGGAAGCCCCGGCUAACUACGUGCCAGCAGCCGCGGUAAUACGUAGGGGGCGAGCGUUGUCCGGAUUUACUGGGCGUAAAGGGUGAGUAGGCGGUAAUAUGUGUCAGAUGUAAAAGGCUAUGGCUUAACCAUAGUUAGCAUUUGAAACUGUAUUACUUGAGUGCAGGAGAGGUAAGUGGAAUUCCUAGUGUAGCGGUGAAAUGCGUAGAUAUUAGGAGGAACACCAGUGGCGAAGGCGACUUACUGGACUGUAACUGACGCUGAGUCACGAAAGCGUGGGUAGCAAA